rnacentral:rRNA from 1 species
GACGAACGCUGGCGGCGUGCUUAACACAUGCAAGUCGAGCGGAGCGGCGAACGGGUGAGUAACGCGUUAGUAACUGCCCCCCUCUCUGGGAUAACAGUUGGAAACGGCUGCUAAUACCGGAUAGUGGGGGAUGACUCGCGUCCUAUCAGCUUGUUGGUGGGGUAGUGGCCUACCAAGGCGACGACGGGUAGCCGGCCUGGGAGGGGGACCGGCCACAUGGUGCUGGGAUACGGCCCAAGCUCCUACGGGGGGCAGCGGUGGGGAAUAUGGCGCAAUAGGGGAAACCCUGAUGCAACAACGCCGCGUGCGGGAUGACGGCCUACGGGUUGUAAACCGCGUUCAGCCAUGACGCGGUAUUGGCAGAAGAAGCACCGGCUAACUACGUGCCAGCCGCCGCGGUAAUAC